UACGGAGGGUGCAAGCGUUAUCCGGAUUUACUGGGUUUAAAGGGUGUGUAGGCGGGUCUUUAAGUCAGUGGUGAAAUCUCCGGGCUCAACCUGGAAACUGCCAUUGAUACUAUUGAUCUUGAAUUCUGUUGAGGUGGGCGGAAUAUGUCAUGUAGCGGUGAAAUGCAUAGAUAUGACAUAGAACACCAAUUGCGAAGGCAGCUCACCUAAGCAGAUAUUGACGCUGAGGCACGAAAGCGUGGGGAUCAAACAGG
rnacentral:rRNA from 1 species